UCGCGUCAAGCGCCGUAGGCAGGAGCGGGGGACCCAAGGUAAGUGCCGGGCCCAGCAGUUCACGCUGGACCGGCUUGGGGUGAAGUCGCGCAUCGCGAGAUGUGCGGCCGGGCAACUCAACCGGCCCGAACCCGACAGCUCACCUCGCAGGCGUCGGUGAGGGGAUCC
rnacentral:sRNA from 2 species